rnacentral:rRNA from 1 species
AUUGAACGCUGGCGGCAGGCCUAACACAUGCAAGUCGAGCGGACGAAGGGAGCUUGCUCCUGGAUUCAGCGGCGGACGGGUGAGUAAUGCCUAGGAAUCUGCCUGGUAGUGGGGGAUAACGUCCGGAAACGGGCGCUAAUACCGCAUACGUCCUGAGGGAGAAAGUGGGGGAUCUUCGGACCUCACGCUAUCAGAUGAGCCUAGGUCGGAUUAGCUAGUUGGUGGGGUAAAGGCCUACCAAGGCGACGAUCCGUAACUGGUCUGAGAGGAUGAUCAGUCACACUGGAACUGAGACACGGUCCAGGCUCCUACGGGAGGCAGCAGUGGGGAAUAUUGGACAAUGGGCGAAAGCCUGAUCCAGCCAUGCCGCGUGUGUGAAGAAGGUCUUCGGAUUGUAAAGCACUUUAAGUUGGGAGGAAGGGCAGUAAGUUAAUACCUUGCUGUUUUGACGUUACCAACAGAAUAAGCACCGGCUAACUUCGUG